rnacentral:rRNA from 2 species
GUUAUAUGGUCAAGUGAAGAAGCGCAUACGGUGGAUGCCUUGGCAGUCAGAGGCGAUGAAAGACGUGGUAGCCUGCGAAAAGCUUCGGGGAGUCGGCAAACAGACUGUGAUCCGGAGAUGUCUGAAUGGGGGAACCCAGCCAUCAUAAGAUGGUUAUCUUGUACUGAAUACAUAGGUGCAAGAGGCGAACCAGGGGAACUGAAACAUCUAAGUACCCUGAGGAAAAGAAAUCAACCGAGAUUCCCUUAGUAGUGGCGAGCGAACGGGGACCAGCCCUUAAGUUGUAUUGAGAUUAGCGGAAC